UACCUACGGGACGCAGCAGUGAGGAAUAUUGGUCAAUGGGCGGGAGCCUGAACCAGCCAAGUCGCAUGAGGGAAGACGGUCCUACGGAUUGUAAACCUCUUUUGCCGGGGAGCAACGGGGUCCUUGCGAGGGCCCGAUGAGAGUACCCGGAGAAAAAGCAUCGGCUAACUCCGUGCCAGCAGCCGCGGUAAUACGGAGGAUGCGAGCGUUAUCCGGAUUUAUUGGGUUUAAAGGGUGCGCAGGCGGCACGGCAAGCCGGCGGUCAAAUCGCGGGGCUCAACCCCGCCCAGCCGUCGGAACUGCCG
rnacentral:rRNA from 1 species